UUGAAAACGAUCGGUCAAUGGUGAAAACUGUGCGUGCUUAUCGUAAGAAACAUGGCCGGCAUUCGGCGCCUUCGGCCAACACAAUUCGCACUUUGGCGAAAAAUUUCUUUGAAUUCGGGUCCGUAGCUAAUCGCCCGCGUCCGAUUCCGCCGCGUCCGCGACGCUCCAAGGAAGUUGUUGAAGCGGUUAGAAAAAGUGUUGCCGAACAACCAAGUCUGUCGUAUCGCCGUCGUGCUCAGGCGCUGAACGUGAAUCCAUCCAAGAAGAAUUGUGAAGGACGAUCUUACCGGUGGUCCCGCUGAUCCCGCCAGCACCGCCGAUCUCCCGGAAGCCCAGCAGCGCAGUGGCGUGCAGAUUGGCGGAGACGGAGCUGUAGUUGCGGCGCGUCAGGAUCGGCGCGGACAGACGAUCCAUCGACGGAAGGGUCGGCCUCGGCGAUCUACCCCUGGUGGCCUGGUGGUGACUGCCGGUCACUGUGAGAAUGUCACUGCUGACCGAUAACCGUCCCGGUGCGACGUCCACCGCCGUCGCCGCCGCCAAAACCGAUUCCUGUUCCAUCGCUCGACUUUGGCGCGCAACCCGUGCGAAUUUCUUCAUCGGUUAGAAAGAAAGAAACAUAAGCUGGAGUGCAAAGAGCAAGGCCUACGAAAGCCAUUGAUUCGCUCCGGCAAUGCCAAGGGACACGCUAUCACCAUACGAGCCAAACCAGAUUCGUAAAACUCGGGACCUCGGGAUGCCGUGGAGUGCUGCAGCUGCCAGUUCGGAACGAGAUCAGCCCCCGAAAUGCCGAUCGUGAGCUGGCGAACUGAUUAAACAAGAUUGUUCCAUCCAGAAACGCCGGCAAACUACGAUCGUCUCGAAGCGCGUACCUUGCCCUGCUACAAUCACAGGAAGGUAGAUGCUUAUCAACGGUUCCGGAUUGAUUGUGAUUCCACGUGCAGGUUAACCCGUUUCGUGGCACUCGACGGACGUUACACGGACCCAGCUGUGUCAGAAGUGGCUUGUAGUUUGCCUCCGGCUGAUAGUCUUCGGCGUUGGUCCAGUUCCGAAGAUACCCAGAGCCGCUUCGCAGUCGGAGAUAGGUUGAAGCCCAUCUUAGAGGGGGCACCCUGAGCGUUAGUGCGCCCCGUCGGUAGUCCUAAGCGUAAAAAAUUGGCAGUAUUAAAA